rnacentral:rRNA from 1 species
CCUACGGGCGGCAGCAGUGGGGAACAUUGGACAAUGGGGGCAACCCUGAUCCAGCCAUGCCGCGUGUGUGAAGAAGGCCCUCGGGUUGUAAAGCACUUUCAGUGAGGAAGAACGCCUGGUGGUUAAUACCCAUCAGGAAAGACAUCACUCACAGAAGAAGCACCGGCUAACUCCGUGCCAGCAGCCGCGGUAAUACGGAGGGUGCGAGCGUUAAUCGGAAUUACUGGGCGUAAAGCGCGCGUAGGUGGCUUGAUAAGCCGGUUGUGAAAGCCCCGGGCUCAACCUGGGAACGGCAUCCGGAACUGUCAAGCUAGAGUGCAGGAGAGGAAGGUAGAAUUCCCGGUGUAGCGGUGAAAUGCGUAGAGAUCGGGAGGAAUACCAGUGGCGAAGGCGGCCUUCUGGACUGACACUGACACUGAGGUGCGAAAGCGUGGGUAGCAAACAGGAUUAGAUACCCUGGUAGUC